GCCCGAUCGUUCAGCCUCAUACCCCAAACCAGGGGGCGCACAGGCUUGGUCAGGUGGCUCGCGGGAGGGUGGUACACCGAGCCUGCGCGGCUG
rnacentral:sRNA from 13 species